AAAGUACUCCCUCCGUCCCAAAAUUCUUGUCUUAGAUUUGUCUAGAUACGGAUGUAUCAAGUCACAUUUUAGUAUUAGAUACAUCCGUAUAUAGACAAAUCUAAGACAAGAAAUUUGGGACAGAGGGAGUAGUUG
rfam:Triticum aestivum genome assembly, contig: Triticum_aestivum_CS42_TGACv1_scaffold_260769_3DL